AUUGAACGCUGGCGGCAGGCCUAACACAUGCAAGUCGAGCGGAUGAAGGGAGCUUGCUCCUGGAUUCAGCGGCGGACGGGUGAGUAAUGCCUAGGAAUCUGCCUGGUAGUGGAGGAUAACGUCCGGAAACGGGCGCUAAUACCGCAUACGUCCUGAGGGAGAAAGUGGGGGAUCUUCGGACCUCACGCUAUCAGAUGAGCCUAGGUCGGAUUAGCUAGUUGGUGGGGUAAAGGCCUACCAAGGCGACGAUCCGUAACUGGUCUGAGAGGAUGAUCAGUCACACUGGGACUGAGACACGGUCCAGACUCCUACGGGAGGCAGCAGUGGGGAAUAUUGGACAAUGGGCGAAAGCCUGAUCCAGCCAUGCCGCGUGUGUGAAGAAGGUCUUCGGAUUGUAAAGCACUUUAAGUUGGGAGGAAGGGCAGUAAGUUAAUACCUUGCUGUUUUGACGUUACCAACAGAAUAAGCACCGGCUAACUUCGUG
rnacentral:rRNA from 1 species